UAGAUGAUCGUAAUUAUAGCACCACUCACGUAAACAAUACAAAUCUUGUUUGCAGUAUCAUUUGCACUAUCAUUUUUUUUAAAGCAAUAAAGCAUAAUAUGCCGCAAAUGCUUCCUUUGAUUAUCCGUAUUGAACGGUGUAGA